ensembl:lncRNA
CUGGAAGCCUCUGGAGAGCAGCUGUCCCCAAUCAUCCUGUCCACGGCCCUUUCGUUCACAGAUUACAUCUUGUACCAACAGAUUGCGUGAGGGAAAAAUCAAAGCUGUCAGGGGCUCCUCCCAGGACACGCAUUUUGCACAAGGUGCCCCACCACAGGGCUCAGUGCUUGACCUCCGUGCUCGGUGGGUAAUGAACGGGGGCCAGCUUUGGGCAGCCAGCACCGCGCCAUGGCCCUGAGAGCAGCAGUGUCACUGCCCGCGGCUGCUGCCCGGCCCUGGGACUUCCCGGCUCAUGGUGCUGCAGCACCUUUCUGGGUUGAGAGCAGGAAAAAAACCCCAAUGGGAUAAAAGGAGCUUCAUCACGGCCUGCCUGCUCUGCUCAGGGCGGGGAGAAAUCCAAGGAUGAAAUUUCAGAAGCCACAGACAACAGCGACAGUUUAACGACUAAAUUCUAAGGUUUGAUAACCCGUUGUGUGUGAAGAACUCAUUGUGAUGGACCCUAAAUGUCUGGCACUCCCUGCCCCAGGAGGGGACCUCAGUUUUAGUUCCCAUUGAUCAGAGUACUGCCUGUGGUUUGAAAUGAAGCACUGCCUGUCUCCUGCCAUCCCCUCUUUGCCUUCCAACACAAUCCUCAGUACCACAGCAUCCUGCACAUCAGCCUGGUGCAGAGCCACAGAAGUGGGUAAAGGCUCAGGGCAGGCAGCACAAGAGCAUCACGUUAAACCACUAUUAAUGCUUUUAAUAGUUAAACAUCCACCUUUGUAUAAAAUGCUCUUUUUCAUCGCAGAAACACCAUUGUUGAGGAUCUCAACGGUACUGCUAGAUAAACUUGUCAAACCCAGGUCACUUAAUCAGGAGCGUGGGCAAUGCAGCAGGACACGAGCAGGCAGGUGAAAGAAAGCCAGGGGGUGAAAUCUUGGCUCCCACAACCAAGAGGUAAAACCCACCCAGAUUUCAGUGGAGCUCAGCUGUGGCAUUGGCUGUUCUGGGCCAGGCAGAAGGUGACAUCCCUCAGCCGCUCUCCAUCCCUGGUGGGGCAGGGCUGGGGCAGGGCGCUUCCACCUGCAGGCCUGCAGCUCAUGGAGGCGUUACUGGCGUGAGCCAGGAACUUGUUAAUCCUCUGCAGGUUUUAAUAAUCGCCGGGCGUUAGUGAAUACACUGCGUUAUAAAAGUCUUAUUAAACCUAAAUUAAAUACAGAUUGGGAACUGAAAUGUGCCAUAGAAAUUUAUGGGGGGAUCUCAGCAGAGAAUAAGGUUUUCAGACUUUGCUGUGAGAGCUACAGAAUAUCAGUUUCUGAAUCAGUAUAAAUUACUGCGUGCCAGCUGCCAGUUACUAGCAAACACGUCUGUAGAAGUAUGUCUUAUAUCCCCGUGGAUCGCCAAAACUUAAUUCGACAACAGGAAUUUCCAGGUCUGUAAAGAGCAUAUGAAUGAUUUCCAUGUCUGCACAGAAUGAUGCCAGCUGAAGCAGCCAGGUGCAGUUUCCACCUUCUCCACGCUCGCCAAGCUCAGGAUUUGCAGAAAUAGAUGGAGCAACUCGGGAUUCCUGAUCUAAUUGAGAAGCUGUGCGCUUCUCAAAGGCUGUGAACAUGAGGGCUGAUGAUGCUCGUUUGGAUCAUCAGCAUUUGUCUGCAGCAUGUCAGGACAGCUCGUGUCCAACGUGGGUCGUGGUCCUGCCCUGCACAGCUGCCGGGGGCAUCCUGGGGGGUCUACAGGGAAGAGCUGCUCUGUGUGGACUGUGCUUUCUGCAGAACCAAUUAGUGCUGAUGACUUCCUAUCACUUACAAGACUGAUACGUCUAUGAUUUCUCUCUCCAGCCCUGCACUUGAUUAAAGGACACUCCACAUCCAGAGCGAGGUUGUUAUACAGAAUGCUUGUGUUAUCAAAUAAUAAACUAACUGUCACAAUAUUGGCUCAAGGCUUAGGAGUUUUCUUGCAUAGGAAGGUUAAGACCUUUACAGUUCAAAUAAGUACCAUUUUUGACUAAUUGUUUGCAGAUACGGCAUAGAAGCAGUGACUUUCCU